UUCGUCCAUAUCACGUUAAGACACCGGUUCCACUACGAUCACCGAAGUUAAGCAACAUCGAGCAUGGUCAGUAUCUAGAUAGGCGACUCCUUGAGAAUACCAGGUGCUGAAA